GACGAACGCUGGCGGCGUGCCUAACACAUGCAAGUCGAGCGGAGACAGUGAGUGGCUUGCUACGAACUGUUUUAGCGGCGGACGGGUGAGUAACGCGUGAGCAACCUUUCCCAGACAGGGGAAUAGCACACCGAAAGGUGUACUAAUACCGCAUAAGACCACGGAAUCACAUGGUUCUGAGGUAAAAGAUUUAUCGGUUUGGGGUGGGCUCGCGUCCGAUUAGGUAGUUGGUGAGGUAACGGCCCACCAAGCCGACGAUCGGUAGCCGACCUGAGAGGGUGAUCGGCCACAUUGGGACUGAGACACGGCCCAAACUCCUACGGGAGGCAGCAGUGGGGAAUAUUGGGCAAUGGAGGAAACUCUGACCCAGCAACGCCGCGUGGAGGAAGAAGGUUUUCGGAUCGUAAACUCCUGUCCUUGGAGACGAGUAGAAGACGGUAUCCAAGGAGGAAGCCCCGGCUAACUACGUGCCAGCAGCCGCGGUAAUACGUAGGGGGCAAGCGUUGUCCGGAAUAAUUGGGCGUAAAGGGCGCGUAGGCGGCUCGGUAAGUCUGGAGUGAAAGUCCUGCUUUUAAGGUGGGAAUUGCUUUGGAUACUGUCGGGCUUGAGUGCAGGAGAGGUUAGUGGAAUUCCCAGUGUAGCGGUGAAAUGCGUAGAGAUUGGGAGGAACACCAGUGGCGAAGGCGACUAACUGGACUGUAACUGACGCUGAGGCGCGAAAGUGUGGGGAGCAAACAGGAUUAGAUACCCUGGUAGUCCACACUGUAAACGAUGAAUGCUAGGUGUAGGGGGUAUCGACCCCUUCUGUGCCGCAGUCAACACAAUAAGCAUUCCGCCUGGGGAGUACGGCCGCAAGGUUGAAAACUCAAAGGAAUUGACGGGGGCCCGCACAAGCAGCGGAGCAUGUGGUUUAAUUCGACGCAAACGCGAAGAACCUUACCAGGUCUUGACAUCCACUUAAAACUUACAGAGAUGUAAGGUGUGCUUGCACAAAGUGAGACAGGUGGUGCAUGGUUGUCGUCAGCUCGUGUCGUGAGAUGUUGGGUUAAGUCCCGCAACGAGCGCGAACCCUUAUCUUCAGUUACUAACGCGUGAAGGUGAGGACUCUGAAGAGACUGCCGGGGACGAACUCGGAGGAAGGUGGGGACGACGUCGAAAUCAUCGAUGCCCCUUAUGACCUGGGCUACGCGCGUGCUACGAAUGGCCGCGACGGAGAGAAGCGAAUUCGUAAGGUGAGGCGGAGACUCGAAAAAAGUGGUCCCGGUUUCGGAUUGUGGGCUGCAACCCGCCCGCGUGAAAGUUCGGAAGUUGCUAGUGAUUCGCGAGUCGGCCGUGCCGCGGUAAAGUCGUUUCCCGG
rnacentral:rRNA from 1 species